rnacentral:lncRNA from 1 species
CCCACCCAGAACGUGAGGUGAAGAAGGCUUGGGCUGCGCUGGUUCUGCUCUGUCCGGGUCGGAGAUGAACUGACCCGGGAGAGCAGCGGAGGGAUGUUUCUUUCGGCCAACAGUGGGGACUCACCUGCACGUUUUGCGAAGAGACCCACAGUCCUUUGCGUGGCGCUCGGACUACAUUUCCCAACGGCCCCUGCACGCCCUGGGGGCUGUUCCAUGCGGUGUUGCGCCUGCGUAGCCGGCGGGCUGGCAGUGAGACUGACUGCGUCGGGGUUGAGACUGGGUGGAUGAGGCUCACCCCGGCGGGGAGAAGGGACGAGGAGGGGCGGACAGCGGAAGGUCCGGGAGUGUCCGCCAUUGCGUAAUUGUGAGUCUGUGAGAGAAGAUGUGAAGUAUGGCCUCGUCCCGGUCAUCUGGGCGUGCGGGUCCCGGGUUUUGAUCGCGCGUUUGUGUAGAAUAAAAGAAAUGACAGCCACCAUAGAGGAACUAGCCAAAGUUAAUAGUCGGCCAGCCCAGAGUCCCUUCAGGAGUUCUGUGUGACUGGGAAAGGAAAUCUGACAGCACCGGGCACGUGACAGUAGACUACAGGGAAUUCAAUAAGAGUUUGACUCUUCGUCAACAAUAAUCUGGCGCCCAAAAGUGGGGCCUCAGAGAAGACUCAGGACCCCGAAGGAGUUGCCCGAAACCGGAGCUGAGGUACCAGCAGGGGCCCAUUGAAGCCCCACUGAGUUCAAGCUUCUCCUCCGGUGGAACUGAAAUAGAAUUCUGCCUUUACAGCCUUGAUGCAGAGCAGUGGGUGUUGUGUGAGAUACAGUAUUGAAGAUGAGUCUCACCUCUGUCUGUGAUGAAAUAGAUUGUGAAUUGUGAAGAGAAUGCAGGUAGCAAUGUAGGAGCUAAACUUAAAUGUCCUCUAAUUUAGAGUCAAUGACUUUGUCGUUUCUGCUGUGAAUCUGGCUACUCUCUGCUAUGCCAGAAAAUGAUGUACUUAACUGCAGCAAACACGUAUCUUUAGUUUAUCCUCCACUCACACAAACCUUUGGGACAGCACAUGUUAUCAGGAGUUUUCCCCUCACAUUUGUACUCUCUUCAGAUGAAUGUGGCUGGAGGGUCAUGUCCUGAGGAAUCUUAUUAGAUAUUAUUGAUUUUUGCAGAGUGGGGCAUCUGACGUAUGCACACCAGUGCCUCUUCUCUUGACAUUUUUGCUCUUUGUAUCAACAGUGAACUUGUUUCUCUCUGUAUAUCUGGACAAUAAAAUCGAAUUCCUCAUACUCAGAAAUGGUCAGGUCACAUUCAGGUCAUGUGGGCACAAAAUAAUAGAAACUUAC